AGAGCCUCCGUGGCCUGGACUUGCACAUGGCAUUCACUGUGCCACCCUUAGUGAGAUGUUUCCUAAAGGAUUUCUUCUGUGGGCUCUUCAUCCUCUGAGAUGAGAAGACUUUGUUACUUGGAUUACGCCUCUUGGGGACAGGGCCUUUGCCUGCCUCAUUCCUGGUGGGGUCCUCACACCCUGCUCAAGCCCUUCUUCUAGGAGGUGCUCAGAUAUGGUGAGCCAGUGAUAAACACCAUGCUGAGAGAGGGAGCCAGCUCCAGAAUAUCACAAAAAGCAGGAUUCUUUUAUAUGAAGUUCCCAGAUCAGACAAAUCCAUACAGCCCAGGCUGGCCUGGAACUCACUAUGCAGUCCAGUUUGGCCUUGAUCUCAUGGGGAUUAAUCCUACUUCGGCCUCUCAAAUGCUGGGAUAAUAGACACGGAUCACUAAGAUUCUGAAUGUAACUUCCUCUCCCCAAAACUCCUGAUUCAAGGCAAUACUGAAAAAGGUAAAAUUAAGUUUGUAUUCUGGAAACACUGUGGUACACGCUAAAGUGAAAUUUGACAUUCCUAUUCUGGCUCAUACUGUGGAGCAGUGACACCCCUGUCAAGAGUGUAGAUGAUAGGACUUCAGGAGUGCUUGCUUUUGUGGAAAGGUUCAGCAGGUGAGAUAAUGUGACUCAGAGGGAUUUGCCAGGCAUCUGCUGCCUGGGCCACUCCAGCUCUGCAGUGGGUGUGGUCUUUGGGCAGCUCCCUUGAAAGAACAGUUUCCAAGGUUACAGAGGGUGCUGCUGCAGUAUCCGCCAGGUGGUUUCUUGGCUACAGAGCAUGAGGCAUUAGCCUCAUGGAUAGAUGGCUGCUUCCACUAGUUAGAGGGGUACAGACCACUUUUGAAAAUGGAGGGUCCCUGCCCUCAGACUGCUUGGCAAGCAAGCCCCUCUGAUAUUUCUUUGAGCCCAAUUGGCCAAGGUAGAGGAAGACAAUGCAGUGUAAAGUGAUUGUCUAGCACAUACUUGUAGCACA
rnacentral:lncRNA from 1 species